UAAUACGUAGGUGGCAAGCGUUGUCCGGAUUUAUUGGGUUUAAAGGGUGCGUAGGCGGCUUUGUAAGUCAGUGGUGAAAUAUGGCAGCUUAACUGUCAGGGUGCCAAUGAUACUGCAGAGCUUGAGUACAGAUGAGGUAGGCGGAAUUGACGGUGUAGCGGUGAAAUGCUUAGAUAUCGUCAAGAACACCUAUAGCGAAGGCAGCUUACUAGGCUGUAACUGACGCUGAGGCACGAAAGUGUGGGGAUCAAACAGGAUUAGAUACCCUGGUAGUCCACACUGUAAACGUUGAAGACUCGCUGUGUGCGAUAUACAGUACGCGGCUUAGCGAAAGCGAUAAGUCUUCCACCUGGGGAGUACGCCGGCAACGGUG
rnacentral:rRNA from 1 species